UACGAGGGGGCGAGCGUUGUUCGGAAUUACUGGGCGUAAAGAGCGCGCAGGCGGUCGUUCAAGUCGCGUGUGAAAGCCCCCGGCUCAACUGGGGAGGGUCACGCGAUACUGAUCGACUCGAAGGCAGGAGAGGGUAGUGGAAUUCCCGGUGUAGUGGUGAAAUGCGUAGAUAUCGGGGAGGAACACCUGUGGCGAAAGCGGCUCACUGGACCAUAACUGACGCUGAUGCACGAAAGCUGGGGAGCAAACAGG
rnacentral:rRNA from 1 species